ACUUGAUGGGACCCAAGAGGUUUGGUUUCUAUCUUAAAGUUGUUGUGUAAUUCCAACGAAAUCACUGGAGUUUCUCUUGUUUCCACCAAGCCAAUUCAUGUUUGAUUUAUAUGUCAGUUUUCCUGCUUGUCUUGCCUUGUUCUGACUCCACGAAUUGUC